GACGAACGCUGGCGGCGUGCUUAACACAUGCAAGCCGAACGGAAAGGCCCUGCUUGCAGGGUACUCGAGUGGCGAACGGGUGAGUAACACGUGGGUGAUCUGCCCUGCACUUCGGGAUAAGCCUGGGAAACUGGGUCUAAUACCGGAUAGGAGCCAUUUUUAGUGUGAUGGUUGGAAAGUUUUUUCGGUGUAGGAUGAGCUCGCGGCCUAUCAGCUUGUUGGUGGGGUAAUGGCCUACCAAGGCGGCGACGGGUAGCCGGCCUGAGAGGGUGGACGGCCACAUGGGGACUGAGAUACGGCCCAGACUCCUACGGGAGGCAGCAGGGGGGAAGAUUGCAAAAUGGGCGAAAGCCUGAUGCAGCGACGACGCGUGGGGGAUGACGGCCUUCGGGUUGUAAAAUCCUUUCGCUAGGGACGAAGCUUUUUGUGACGGUACCUAGAUAAGAAGCACCGGCUAACUACGUG
rnacentral:rRNA from 1 species